AUGAAUCCUAAAGAGAUUAAUAUUGAAUCAUAACCUAUAUUUUCAUUUUCAUUUUUCAUAAAUUAUAAUAUUACCUUUUCAUGUAUCUUAUACUCUUCGUAAAAAGAGAGAGAGAAAAAGAAAGAACAACAUGAUGAAAAAUAUGAAUCUUUCAACCAACCAAACAGUUCAUUUCGUCAUGAAAUGCUUGAAACUGAUCCAAAAACUGAGAGCCGUCGCGCGAUAUUGUCAGGCUUAACACCAUACGUCCAGGGAUUAUUGCUUUCACGUAUUCCACGGAGUUCAUUCAUUUUUAUCCCACUUAAUUUAGACCUCGUAGCCGUGUCCAUUCCCCCAGUUUCGUUCUCUUUGAGCAAAGCAAACAAACAUAGCUGGGGAAAGCGGCGGAUCGCUCGAAUUCGCAUUGAAAUCCCGCCAAUUUCGAUGGGUUGCACUUUCUCCCAGGUUCACGGACGUUCCUCUUAAGCUUCUUUCUUUGCCCGUCAGUCGCGUCGCGAUCGGCAAAGUUUAAAGUCGAUUCAGACGACACGGAACGUUUACGCUUCGUGCAAGAAGCAAUUAAUCCUUUGCGUUCUGGGACAGAAAAAGGUUAUCGAUGCCACGACCUGAAACGUCUUGAAAUGACGCCCGGAAUAUCCUGCGGAAUUAAGGAAAUUUAUCCGUCCCCUGAAUAUUAAUGGAAGUGGAUUGAAAAUUGUGCCUUAAAUACUCCAAAUAUUAAAAAUCAUAUAUACUUAACGCUAGAAUAUAUGAUCUGUAGCAUAUAUGUAUACGUAUUUAUGUAUGUAUACAUAUAGGAUAUUCAAGUAAAAAUAGAAAAUUCGAGCAGUGAUUCUAGAAAUUGAAAUAAAUAAAGCGAAAUAUAAAUGUAAUGGAACUGUCUCGCUUUGAAAUGCAAGAUCGGUGACCUAAAAAUUUUACUAAUUCCAAGGAUCUCGUUUCAUAGUAUAUAAAAAGUAAUGAGAGCAGAUCGACAAAGAUCGGUUACAGAUCGUGUAUAUAAAAUCAAAGAACAAGCAUUUGUCGAGGAAUUUUACUACUUUCACUCGAUUUUCUCCACUAUUCUUCUUCAAAAUUCGAAAACAAUGCUGGUAACACGAAUAACCAUGCGUAACAUUAUUUCAAGAAGGAUUUUAGAAUCGCUUGAAAUUGUAAUGAUCUAAGUACUACUUAGAUAAGCAUAGUAUUGGAGGUUGUUAAAAUACAACUGAUCGCUAAAGCAGUUCGUGGAAGACUGAUUAGAUGAAAUUAUGUAAAUUGCUAUGAAACAUUGCGAAUAAAUGGUUAACUUAAUCAUUCCAUCGUUACGCUUCAUGACGGCUCCCUUUUCUCUCAAUUUUAUUUACAUAGGAAUCAGAGGCUUAUCUUUCCAAUGGUAGCAUAAGAUGGCCGGAUAAGAAGCUGGCAAGAGAAAGGAAACGGAGGUUCUAAGGUGAAAGCUGGAUAAAUUCCAUCCUUGCUCUUGUAUUCUAUUAUUUUAAUCUUUUUUAUCCGGAAGAUUUAUCUGUGUGCUGUGAGUUAGUGGGAACUUUUGGUGAAACUAUAUAUAUAUAUACGAUUUCAAUUAUGACACGCACCGGAAGUUGAAGAAUCUUGCGCUCGAAAGCGCGUUAAAUUUUCAGGAAACUGAAAUAAUUGCUUCGGCGAGUAAAUUAAUUUCGAGAAUAAUUUGUUAGUUUGCACGUGUAUUUUAUUAAGUUAAUUUGCCUAUCUUUUUUGUAUCGAAAUCAAAAAAUUUAACACAAGACUGAUUUAUCUAAUUGUUUUAAAAAAUUAAUUUCACUUUGACACGAUACUUUGAUAAGACGAAGAGAUUGUUCUGAACCUGAAGAAACAUACACGACGAGGAACGUGAAGUGUUCUGCUCGCAUAUACGCUGCACGUGACUAAAAUACACUUCCUUGCUUGGCCGAGUCAAAAAUAAAAAUACAACUCGUUGACGAUCGAUUUCGAUGUUCUGGAAUCGUUCGAGACGAAAAUUUCACUUUCGUAAAAAUUCUUGUCUAAGAAUUAAAAAUUUUCUUUUCUAAAAGAUAAAAAUGUAAAAAUAA